rnacentral:rRNA from 1 species
CGGCUGCUCAGUAACACGUAGUCAACCUAACCUAUGGACGGGAAUAACCUCGGGAAACUGAGAAUAAUGCCCGAUAGAACACUAUACCUGGAAUGGUUUGUGUUCCAAAUGAUUUAUCGCCGUAGGAUGGGACUGCGGCCUAUCAGUUUGUUGGUGAGGUAAUGGCCCACCAAGACUAUUACAGGUACGGGCUCUGAGAGGAGUAGCCCGGAGAUGGGUACUGAGACACGGACCCAGGCCCUAUGGGGCGCAGCAGGCGAGAAAACUUUGCAAUGUGCGAAAGCACGACAAGGUUAAUCCGAGUGGUUUCUGCUAAAGGAACCUUUUGUUAGUCCUAGAAACACUAACGAAUAAGGGGUGGGCAAGUUCUGGUGUCAGCCGCCGCGGUAAAACCAGCACCUCAAGUGGUCAGGAUGAUUAUUGGGCCUAAAGCAUCCGUAGCCGGCUCUGUAAGUUUUCGGUUAAAUCUGUACGCUCAACGUACAGGCUGCCGGGAAUACUGCAGAGCUAGGGAGUGGGAGAGGUAGACGGUACUCGGGAGGAAGUGGUAAAAUGCUUUGAUCUCUCGAUGACCACCUGUGGCGAAGGCGGUCUACCAGAACACGUCCGACGGUGAGGGAUGAAAGCUGGGGGAGCAAACCGGAUUAGAUACCCGGGUAGUCCCAGCUGUAAACUAUGCAAACUCAGUGAUGCAUUGGCUUGUGGCCAAUGCAGUAUUGCAGGGAAGCCGUUAAGUUUGCCGCCUGGGAAGUACGUACGCAAGUAUGAAACUUAAAGGAAUUGGCGGGGGAGCAG